AUAUGAGAAGUAAAGAGAGAAAAAAAUCAUACUGACGCAGUAAUUUACGUGGUUCGACAGUGUGCCUACUCCAUGAGUGAGAAUAGAGCAAAACAAUUCUACUAUAAUAAAAUGAAGUACAAAAACAAUAGUUAUCUCUCAAAUCCAAAAUUUCAAUACAUCCAAAUCUCACACAAAAGAGAAGCUCUCAAGUCUAAAACUCUCACUCUCUUACUUUCUUGCAGAUGGUGGUGUAGAA
rnacentral:lncRNA from 1 species